GAUGAACGCUGGCGGCGUGCCUAAUACAUGCAAGUCGAGCGAACAGACGAGGAGCUUGCUCCUCUGACGUUAGCGGCGGACGGGUGAGUAACACGUGGAUAACCUACCUAUAAGACUGGGAUAACUUCGGGAAACCGGAGCUAAUACCGGAUAAUAUAUUGAACCGCAUGGUUCAAUAGUGAAAGACGGUUUUGCUGUCACUUAUAGAUGGAUCCGCGCCGCAUUAGCUAGUUGGUAAGGUAACGGCUUACCAAGGCAACGAUGCGUAGCCGACCUGAGAGGGUGAUCGGCCAAACUGGAACUGAGACACGGUCCAGACUCCUACGGGAGGCAGCAGUAGGGAAUCUUCCGCAAUGGGCGAAAGCUUGACGGAGCAACGCCGCGUGAGUGAUGAAGGUCUUCGGAUCGUAAAACUCUGUUAUUAGGGAAGAACAAAUGUGUAAGUAACUAUGCACGUCUUGACGGUACCUAAUCAGAAAGCCACGGCUAACUACGUGC
rnacentral:rRNA from 1 species